AACGAACGCUGGCGGCAGGCCUAACACAUGCAAGUCGAGCGGCCUUUCGGGGGAGCGGCCUCCGUGUGUGUACCGCGUGGGAAUAUGCCCUUCUCUAUGGGAUAGCCUCGGGAAACUGAGAGUAAUACCGGAUACGCCAUGCGGGGGACAGAUUUAUCGGGUAAGGAGUAGCCCGCGUUGGAUUAGGUUGUUGGUGGGGUAAUGGCCUACCAAGCGGACGAUCCUUAGCUGGGUUGAGAGGAUGAGCAGCCACACUGGCACUGAGACACGGGCCGGACUCCUACGGGAGGGAGCAGUGGCGAAUCUUAGACAAUGGGGGCAACCGUGAACGACCCAUGCCGCGUAAGUGAUGAAGGCCUUAGGGUUGUAAAGUUCGUUCAGCUGGGGAGAUAAUGACGGUACCAGCAGAAGAAGCCCCGGCUAACUCCGUG
rnacentral:rRNA from 1 species